ensembl:snoRNA small nucleolar RNA SNORD69
AAUUUGAAGCAUGAUGAACUGUAUUGGACUGACCAAAGCAUGAAGUCUUCAAUCAAUCCAACACUGAGCUUCAAAUC